GUGACCUAGGACCCAGAUGGUGUAACAUUUAAAAGGAGUGGAUGCCUUAAACUGUAGGAGUUAAAAUGGUUGAAGGCUAUAAACUGUAGUACAGGAAGAUUUGCUUCAGAUUUACAUGGAGCAUUCAAUUGAUCCCAGUGUGAGAAUUACAGCUUUUGUGGUCCUUUUGGAUGCUGUUUGGAUUUUCUUUGACCAUGGGGAUAGGAGAUACUAUGUUAAAGGAGACCAGCUUACAAGGGGUAGAGAUAAUUGGCAAAACAAGAAAUCAAGCCCUGUUGCUUUUGUCUUCCCAGCUGUCAAUGAUUACAAUGGAAAAUUUAACAGUGAUAUUGUUAGGUAGGCAGAAAGGAUUACCUGCUGGAAAACUUCCAAUUUCAAUGGAUUUCAAAAUAUUUGGUCAAGAGUCAUUCUUCUUAAAUAUCAACAUGAAGUAAAUGUUUGUUGGCACACAAUGACAACCAUGUUGAUCGAUACCACCAAUCUCUCAGUCUGGUAUUCAGUUACAGUAGAAGGCCUUGCCUCAUUCCCUGCUGAAAUUUGAUGCCAAGAUCAACUGGAAAGAAAAAAAAACCCUUCAAAUUUGAAAGUCUGCUCUGGUAAAGUUAAAAUGUAUA